UACGUAGGUGGCAAGCGUUGUCCGGAUUUAUUGGGUUUAAAGGGUGCGUAGGCGGUGCAGCAAGUCGGGAGUGAAAUCCCACAGCUCAACUGUGGAAUUGCUUUCGAUACUGCUGUGCUUGAGUGAGACAGAGGUAAGCGGAACUUAGGGUGGAGCGGUGAAAUGCGUUGAUAUCCUAAGGAACACCGGUGGCGAAGGCGGCUUACUGGGUCUCUACUGACGCUGAUGCACGAAAGCCAGGGUAGCGAACGGG
rnacentral:rRNA from 1 species